GAUGAAGAACGUAGCAAAAUGCGAUAAGUAAUGUGAAUUGCAGAAUUCAGUGAAUCAUCGAAUCUUUGAACGCACAUUGCGCCCGCCAGUAUUCUGGCGGGCAUGCCUGUUCGAGCGUUAUUUCAACCCUCAAGCACAGCUUGGUGUUGGGACUCGCGUUAAUUCGCGUUCCUCAAAUUGAUUGGCGGUCACGUCGAGCUUCCAUAGCGUAGUAGUAAAACCCUCGUUACUGGUAAUCGUCGCGGCCACGCCGUUAAACCCCAACUUCUGAAUGUUGACCUCGGAUCAGGUAGGAAUACCCGCUGAACUUAAGCAUAUCAAUAAGCGGAGGA
rnacentral:misc_RNA from 1 species